AGCUAAUAGAUACCCAGGUAGUCCACGCCCUAAACGAUGUCUACUAGUUGUUGGUGGAGUAAAAUCCAUGAGUAAACGCAGCUAACGCGUGAAGUAGACCGCCUGGGGAGUACGGUCGCAAGAUUAAAACUCAAAGGAAUUGACGGGGGCCCGGCACAAGCGGUGGAUUAUGUGGAUUAAUUCGAUGCAACGCGAAAACCUUAACCUGGCCUUGACAUGCCACUAACGAAGCAGAGAUGCAUUAGGUGCCCGUAACGGGAAAGUGGACACAGGUGCUGCACGGCUGUCGUCAGCUCGUGUCGUGAGAUGUUGGGUUAAGUCCCGCAACGAGCGCAACCCUUGCCAUUAAUUGCCAUCAUUUAGUUGGGCACUUUAAUGGGACUGCCGGUGACAAACCGGAGGAAGGUGGGGAUGACGUCAAGUCCUCAUGGCCCUUAUGGCCAGGGCUUCACACGUAAUACAAUGGUCGGUACAGAGAGUUGCCAACCCGCGAGGGGGUAGCUAAUCUCAGAAAGCCGAUCGUAGUCCGGACUGUUCUCUGC
rnacentral:rRNA from 1 species